UAUAUUUUGGAUUUUUUUAUUUUUUAUUUUUCUAUUUGGGAGUGGUUUAUAGGUGGAUGCCCUAAAUCUCUUGGUGAAAGGAACGUAUAGAAGUAGUUGUGUUUUAAAUAAAAAUAGUCAUAUGUCAUCACUGAUUUGUAAUAUGGCAUAUGGGGCCAACUUAGCUGCUCAUAUAUCUCCCAUUUUGAAAUCCCAUGGUUGGUGCCUCUUACACAUUAUGUCAUCUGAGUUAUAUGUACCGUUGGAGAAUUUGAAAAUCCUUUUGGUUCUCAGAAUAUUGAAUGGUUCAUACAUGGGGGAUGAAACAGGGUGUCAGCCAUCUAUUUGAAGACCAUUGAUCAUGUGGUUAGGAUCAUCUUAUCAAUUGGAUUUUUUAGACCUUGGCCCACUUGAAGGAUGGUUUGGACAGUUGAUUUGCCGGGUCCCGCCAUGGACGGAUUGUAUUUACAAGAAAAACUCAUUGAGGGGACAAUAGCAGUCGUUCAAUUUGUUGGCCUACAGGUGGAUGGACAGAAAUGCAACAAUAAUGUUCAACUGAAAAAUGUCCGAUAAUAGUUGUUGGGAUCUUUCCAUCUGGGAGGUUCUUGAGACAUGGUCUAUCUAUGAUUGGAUGAAAUAGACCAUUAGAAAACAUAACAGACCUGUGCUCCAUUUCCAGUUGGGCAUGUCCUCUUGUAUCAUCCUUUUGGCAAUAUUACAAUUCUCUAUUGUAUUAUUUUCAGAUUACCCUUUUUGGGUUGGUUGAUAAAUUGAAGUUCUUCUCUUGAUUUUUAGCUAUAGUGUAUUCACAUGGUCGCGGCCCAUGACAUCAAUGGUCCUGACUAUCCUAAAAAAUGUUGGACAGGUGAAGUAGAGAGUUGAAGUCCUGUGAGCUUUCAUCUCCAUGGAGAGCGUCAAGGGCCACACAUGAUGGAUGAAUUGGAUGUAUCAUAUACAUCAUGAUAGGCCCCACUUUCUGACAACUAUUGCAACUGCUAUGUUUGUCCAAUUGUUGUAAUUAUUUUAUCUAUUUACAUGGUUGCCCACCAUAUCAUUUGGUUCUAAAGGCUUUAGAAGCGCAGCAUGUUUCAGUGGAGAGCUCCUGACAGGACUUCAUUUCCAUGAAACUCUGGAGAACAUAUUCUUCGUCAUAUAUGUUUUGAUGAGUACAUUCUAUUUCUAUAUCUCCCGUCUGCUCAUUCCCAUCUUUGCACUUCUUAGUGGGUCUGAAGAUGAGAACCAGUACAUUCACGAAUAACUUUUUUCACACAAACAAACACACACUUUUUCCCCUGUUCCUAUAAAUAAUAAAAUGGUUAUGUGAGCAGAUACAGAAGAAAGUUGCUGAAAUAUUUCUUUGAAUAAGAAAGGGACAAUCAUUUUAAGCAUGAUUGAUAAUAUAAGUAGUGGUUGUACCUGAGGAACAAGAAAAAAUGACUCCUUAGGCCGGUGGACAAGAGCAACUAGUCGAUCUACAUCUGGAGCAACUUUCCUGUUGGCAAGAUGCUUCAAGGUAACUCGUAGCGUUGCUCCUAAUACCACUUCUCUCACAGAGGCAAUCUUUACUAAAAGAGCAUUAGCAGUUCUGUGGUUGAUGAUGGGGUAAUAAGUAAGGAAAUGGUUUGUUUAUGUUUAAAGUGGCUGGGAGAUGUAUUGGUGUGAAUUUUCUUGGGCUGGAAAUAAAUAAGCUUGUGAAACAAUGUCUAGAUUUUGUUCAACAACAAGGCUUGAAGAAUAUGGUGCUAUUAAUGCGGCUUUUGUGGAGGCCAUCAGGCCCCAUGUUCUAGUACUCCGGAGCAGCCCUUAUGGGAAGAAAGUCCUUUCAAGCAACAGCCUGAGGAAGUAAUUUAUGUUGUUUCAGGAAGUUCUGCAACCAUCUGAAAAGUUUGAUCCGAAUUUUUACAGCCCCUCUUAUUUCUGUGAUAGUUUCCAAUAACACAAGGCGAAUGAUUUGUUUGACAUGGCUUCAAGGGAAUCCUGUAUGUACUAAUGCAAAUGAAGUCAACAUAAUCAAGUUUUGUGGGUCUCAGAAUGGAAAUGGAGUGACACCUAGAGGCUUAACAAAUGCCACACCCAUCUGUCCCACUCUAGCAUGCCGUGCAGAUUUCAAUUUUGA